GGUUCGCUUCGGGAACCUGACGAGCACAUACACAACAAAGCAUCUUAUACAUUAUUAAUUUGCACUUUUUGUUUUAGGGUGCCACAAUUACCAGGAUGCAAUUAUAAAAGAUAACAUUAAUUCAUCUUGCAUCUUUUUUCUUUUUUUUUUGACAGGUCUACCGUGAAAAGCGUAGAUGUCAAGACACAAAAUGUCAAAACUUUGUCUCACUGCUUGAUCAAAAACGUGCCCCCGGAUGCAUGCACACACAAACGUGCACACUUAAAUAAAUCCCACCAGUGUUGGAUGACCCUUCUGCCAUGGACCGGCACGCAUUAUUCAUCUAAAGUAUGAAUCCAUUAUGACAUUAGCUCAUUUAAAACAGAGUCUGGGACCUUACACACUCUGGAGGAGAUGUAGUCUACAUAAAUUCUUCAACUUCAGAAGAGGCAGGCCUUCUUUGAUGGAAACAGGGGACCUAGGAAUCUGACUUCAUCUCAGCCCACAAGGGGGGUCACGUAACCAAGCCUGGAGGUCAUUCGGCGCAUGUGACCCCCUCCUUCUGCAUUACACUGGGACGCCAAGACUCAGAGCACAGCCCAGACAGUGGACAAAGUAACCCUCCCAAUGCCCCCCUCCUCAAACCUCACGGCAUGAGGUCAGCGUAGCAACCCCAAGAAGAACAUCUCUCUAAGCGGUUUGGGGACCUUGAGCUACGUUUGAGUUUCUGCUCUGGGAAAGUGUAAAUUUUUAAUGGAAUAUACAUUAAGAGGCAUUCUUCGGUUGAUAUAUGAUUGUUUUGCUCCAGCUUGUGUUUCACCGGGCUCUCCUGUAACAUGGGGGGAGCGGCGCUUGAUCAAAUAAGGAUUGACUGAUUGAUUUUCUAUCGUUUGGGCUCUGCUCCAAUUAAUUAUUCAAUAUUACGGCCGGCAACACCUUGAGCAUAUUCAUUACUGUAACUUGGCCUUCUUUUCAUUGCCAUGGCACUUGUUAUAUUCAGAAGAGAAAUGUGAGAUUCAUUUCAAUAACUAAAAAUUUCACAUCACAAAAGAGAAGAUGCUGAGGUUACACCGCUGAUAUUAUCUGUGGAUCUCUGCGCCGGAGAGGAUUUUGCUUGGCGUGGACGGAGAGGGACAGACAGAGACGACUUUCUCCGCCUCGCCGCGGCCUGCGGGUGACAGCGCAGUGAUGUGAAACGAGAGACGGCCAUGUCUGAGGUCACUCCCUGAUUACCUGUCCCCACGCAGGGUCAGAUGACCCUUAAAUGCGUUGUUUACACUUGUGCCUUUGAUUUGCGGCCAGCACCACCGCGCAAAGCACGGGAAUAUUCACUCCCUUUAUCGAGUUAUACCCAUGGAGGGAAUGAUCCCGUCAUAGCCACAGAUGAUAGAGAUAAGCCAUCAGAGUGGAUGCAGAAGUCACAGGGAUGCAUGUUUAAUGAGGUAGAAUGAAAAUUGUACUUA